GCGGGGAUAGUUCAGUUGGGAGAACGUUAGACUGAAGAAUUAAUAACUUCAGGUCAUUCAUAUAUCUAAAGGUCGUGCGUUCGAUCCGCACUCACCGCA
rnacentral:tRNA from 1 species